rnacentral:rRNA from 1 species
UACGUAGGGGGCAAGCGUUGUCCGGAAUUAUUGGGCGUAAAGAGCUCGUAGGCGGUGUGUCGCGUCGGGCGUGAAAACCUGCAGCUUAACUGUGGGCUUGCGGUCGAUACGGGCAUCACUGGAGUUCGGCAGGGGAGACUGGAAUUCCUGGUGUAGCGGUGAAAUGCGCAGAUAUCAGGAGGAACACCGGUGGCGAAGGCGGGUCUCUGGGCCGAUACUGACGCUGAGGAGCGAAAGCGUGGGGAGCGAACAGG